UACACAUGCAAGUCGUGCGGUCAAAAUGAGGGGGCCUUCNCNGGACGAGCGGCGGACGGGUGAGUAAUGCAUGGGAAUGCGCCCGAUAGUGGGGGACAACCCUGGGAAACCAGGGCUAAUACCGCAUGUUUUCCACGGAACAAAGCGGGGGAUCUUUUCGGAGACCUCGCGCUAUCGGAGCAGCCCAUGUCCGAUUAGCUUGUUGGCGGGGUAACGGCCCACCAAGGCGACGAUCGGUAGCUGGUCUGAGAGGAUGAUCAGCAACACCGGGACUGAGACACGGCCCGGAAUCCNACGGGAGGCAGCAGUGGGGAAUAUUGGACAAUGGGGGCAACCCUGAUCCAGCGAUGCCGCAUGAGUGAAGAAGGCUUUCGGGUUGUAAAGCUCUUUCGCAGGGGAAGAAAAAACGCGGAGUAAUACGCCGCGUCCAUGACGGUACCCUGAUAAGAAGCACCGGCUAACUUCGUGCCAGCAGCCGCGGUAAUACGGGGGGUGCAAGCGUUAAUCGGAAUUACUGGGCGUAAAGCGUGCGUAGGCGGCCGUCCAAGUCAGAUGUGAAAGCCCCGGGCUCAACCCGGGAACUGCGUUUGAAACUGGAGGGCUUGAGUUCGGCAGAGGAAGGUGGAAUUCCGCGUGUAGCGUGGGAAUGCGUAGAGAUGCGGAAGAACACUAAUGGCGGAGGAUCCCUUCUGGGCCGACACUGACGCUGAGUCACGAAAGCGUGGGGAGCAAACAGGAUUAGAUACCCUGGUAGUCCACGCCCUAAACGAUGCCCGCUAGCUGUCGGAGGUUCCAAUUUAUUGGUCUUUCGGUAGCGACGUAACGCGUUUAGGCGGGCCGCCUGGGGAAUACGGUCGCAAGAUUAAAACUCAAAGGAAUUGACGG
rnacentral:rRNA from 1 species